rnacentral:misc_RNA from 1 species
CCACAAGCGAAUCGAACCCAACAUCAUAGUCCUUUGCCAACUCCUUCAAUUCAAACUUCGAACCUUUCUCUUUGGCCGCAGAACCCGAAAACACCGCCUUGAAGAAAGAACUUCUCCCCGACAGAAUGCACCGGUGGACUGGGACCUCCCUGUUAGUGGCCGAGAUUGUGAUUUUGGCGUCGGCAAAAAAGUCAAAAUCUGGGGAAUCGAAGAUGGAUUCGAGGCUUCUGGAGAGCUGUUGGAGUGCUGAGAUUUCAGGGUUUGGAGGCUUGGGAGUGGAUAGGGUUUCUAUGCAGCACGUGCUGCUUCCAUUGCUGAUCUCGGUAGAAUCAGAGAAACCAAUCCUAUUAUCCAUUAAAAACAAACAAGAUGACAAGAUACCAAGAAAAAGAGAAGGGAUUGUUGGUUUAAGAGAGGGUUUAGGGAGUGAAAUUGGUGCA